ACAGAGGGUGCGAGCGUUGUUCGGAAUUAUUGGGCGUAAAGGGCGCGUAGGCGGUGCGGUAAGUCACCUGUGAAAUCUCCUGGCUCAACUGGGAGCUUGCAGGCGAAACUGCCGUGCUGGAGUGUGGGAGAGGUGCGUGGAAUUCCCGGUGUAGCGGUGAAAUGCGUAGAUAUCGAGAGGAACACCUGCGGCGAAGGCGGGUUGCUGGGCUGAUACUGACGCUGAUGCGCGAAAGCCAGGGGAGCGAACGGGA
rnacentral:rRNA from 1 species